UGGGAUGUAGCUCAGUGGUAGAGCACUUGCCUAGCAUUCAUGAGGUUCUGAGUUUGAUACCCAGCAUCUAAC
rnacentral:tRNA from 1 species